UCAGCUUCUCCAGCCAAUCCUGCUCCGAAACACGGGCUACUGCAUUGCCGUCGAAUCGAGUUGAAGCCCCUCAUGUGAGUUCUAUCAAGCACUUAAUUACUGCUUUUCAGAAUAAAAAAGCUGUUCCAAAAGUCUUAGUAUGAAAUACAAAUGAUCAUCUAUGGGAGAACAUUGGCUGUAGAUAUAACUUCUCUGAUGUUUUUGAUCGGAAUUUUUUUUUUCUUUUCGAUCUCGACAACAUUUGAAGAAAAACCCGAAAAAGGCGUCAAGAUCACCGCGCAAACUAAUCUCCGUCCCGACAUCGGGGGGAAGAUGGCAAGAUAAGUGGUGCAGUGAAUUUGCAUUCACUAUGGGAGAGCUUCAGCUAGUAGAUUUACUAGAUGAAGAUAAAGAGAAGGAUGCAGAGGUCUUUGUUAGCCUCUCUGUUCAGAAGGUAAUUAACUUACUUUAUAAUUGUGGCACCCUAAUUGCCCCGCAUCGAAUAAUGUAAUAGCAUAUAAGAAGCACACUAGAUUUAGAUCAAACGAGUUAUUACUGCUAUUAGACUGGUCAUUAUAAUAACAUUUUCUAUCUAAAGCAAUCACGCAAAGCUUACAUUUAACCUUUUUCCUUUUGUUUUCCAGCACACUGGUUUUGGAUUCUCAAUAGAUGGCCGAAUUGUGACUUCCUUCAGCAGGAAAUGCAGCUGUUGCUUUUCAUCAUACUGCAGAAAGGUAAAUAUAUAGUUAGUAACUAAAACAUUAAAAAAAAAAAAGCAAAGAAAAAGAAAAAAGAAACCAUGAUGUUUUACCGUAGUUUUAGCAUGAAGAGAAUGGAUUAUAUUCAUCAGCACAUUUUGUCUUACAGAUUGAUGCCCCAUUCAAUGUUUGGGUUCUACCUUCUUCCAAGAACAGUGAGCUUGAGAUGCCAGAAAUUGGUGGAAAUGAUCCAUCUGUAAGUCUCUCAGGAAAAAACACAUCUCUCUAAUUCUGUCUAAAUGAUGAGGAAUUUCUCUUAGCAGGUCAUCUAUGUGAAACCUGGAUCAGAAGUAGAUCUUGAUUCACUAAUCAAGGAUACAAUUCGCUUAACAGCGUCAGCAGAGGUGGCAUGCAUAGCCCCUAAUCCCCUAUCAAAAGCUCUUCAAUAUAGUGGCUAUACUAAUACAAACAUAUAUUUUCAGGACACCUGCUCAGAAUCAUGCGCGAAAUCAGCAGUUGUAUGGCAG
rnacentral:lncRNA from 1 species